GAGUUUGAUUCUGGCUCAGGACGAACGCUGGCGGCGUGCUUAACACAUGCAAGUCGAACGAAAAGAGGGAAAGAGCUUGCUCUUUCCGGAAUUGAGUGGCAAACGGGUGAGUAACACGUAAACAACCUGCCUUCAGGAUGGGGACAACAGACGGAAACGACUGCUAAUACCGAAUAAGUUCCAAGAGCCGCAUGGCCCAUGGAAGAAAAGGUGGCCUCUACCUGUAAGCUAUCGCCUGAAGAGGGGUUUGCGUCUGAUUAGCUGGUUGGAGGGGUAACGGCCCACCAAGGCGACGAUCAGUAGCCGGUCUGAGAGGAUGAACGGCCACACUGGAACUGAGACACGGUCCAGACUCCUACGGGAGGCAGCAGUGGGGAAUCUUCCGCAAUGGGCGAAAGCCUGACGGAGCAACGCCGCGUGAGUGAUGACGGCCUUCGGGUUGUAAAACUCUGUGAUCCGGGACGAAAAGGCAGAGUGCGAAGAACAAACUGCAUUGACG
rnacentral:rRNA from 1 species